rnacentral:rRNA from 1 species
UGAAUACGUUCCCGGGCCUUGUACACACCGCCCGUCACACCAUGGGAGUGGGCUGUACCAGAAGUGGCUAGCUUAACCUUAGGGAGAGCGGUUACCACGGUAUGGUUCAUGACUGGGGUGAAGUCGUAACAAGGUAGCCCUAGGGGAACCUGGGGCUGGAUCACCUCCUUAAGCUUGGAUCCCGGGAAGGGC